GACGAACGCUGGCGGCGUGCUUAACACAUGCAAGUCGAACGGAAAGGCCCUGCUUUUGUGGGGUGCUCGAGUGGCGAACGGGUGAGUAACACGUGAGUAACCUGCCCUUGACUUUGGGAUAACUUCAGGAAACUGGGGCUAAUACCGGAUAGGAGCUCCUGCUGCAUGGUGGGGGUUGGAAAGUUUCGGCGGUUGGGGAUGGACUCGCGGCUUAUCAGCUUGUUGGUGGGGUAGUGGCUUACCAAGGCUUUGACGGGUAGCCGGCCUGAGAGGGUGACCGGCCAAAUUUGGGAUUGAAUUCCGCCCCAGACCCCUCGGGAGGGAAGAAGGGGGAAUUAUGGACAAAGGGCGGAAGGCUUGAGGCAGCAAGCCGCGGGGCGGGAUGAGGCCCUCGGGUUUGUAAACGGCUUCGGCUGGGACGGAGCGGGGGGUGCCGGUAAGGGUUAAGAAGCACCGGCUAACUACGUG
rnacentral:rRNA from 1 species